UCCAGCCUUAUCGCCAUCCAGCUCCACCAUGGCCUUGGGAAAUCAUAACCACCUGCAUAUUUUAACCUGAAAGCUUGGUUCAACUUGUAUGGAACCAUCCCUUUCAAGGAACCAGAGGCUCACAGGUAGUAAAGAACUCUGGAGUCAUGACUAGGAAAAGAUACCAGCUCAGAGAGAUACUGAAACCUUCAUCAGGCGAAAAGAAGUUAACUGUAUGCUACCCACAAGCACAUAGACCCCAGACGGACUGGAACCAGAAGGUUGAUGAUGUUGACUCCCGAUUACCUGACCACCAACCAAUAAGAAGAAUGUCCGUCUACGAGCUGAUCAUGCACCCCACAACCUCCCUCCCUCAUCCUGUCUUUAAAAACCUUUCCCUGCAAGUCACUGGGGACCCUGGACCUUUUGAGCACUAGCUACCUGGACUCCUUGCUUGGCUCCUGCAAUAAAUGCUACACUUUCCUUCACCACGACCCUGUGUCAAUAGAUUCGCUUU